rnacentral:rRNA from 1 species
GUCCAUGACCAUACUUCUCAGAAUGCUCCUGAUGUCAUGUGAUUUCAGAAGCUAGGCAGACACAGGUUGGGAAAGUACUUGGAUGGGAGAAUUAAAGAGGAAAAAAAUGCAUGCAUG